rnacentral:misc_RNA from 1 species
UUUCCGUAGGUGAACCUGCGGAAGGAUCAUUACAGAGUAGAGGGUUCUUACGGGCCCGCACUCCAACCCCUUGAUUUAUAGACGUGGUUGCCUCGGCGGGCUGGAAUCCAUUCGGAACGCCUUAAAUGCCCGCCAGAGGACGCAGAAACUCCUGUCUAAAUGGUGCAGUCUGAGUUUUGUAGAGCAACGAAUUAAAACUUUCAACAACGGAUCUCUUGGUUCUG